UAAGGUACGUGCGACUGGCGGAUAAGUGGAGUAAUACCACGGGGAGCACGAUACAAUAAAAGCCGGCCGCCUGGGCACCCUAA
rnacentral:ncRNA from 2 species